rnacentral:rRNA from 1 species
AUUGAACGCUGGCGGCAGGCCUAACACAUGCAAGUCGAGCGGAGAUGAGGUGCUUGCACCUUAUCUUAGCGGCGGACGGGUGAGUAAUGCUUAGGAAUCUGCCAUUUAGUGGGGGACAACAUUCCGAAAGGAAUGCUAAUACCGCAUACGUCCUACGGGAGAAAGCAGGGGAUCUUCGGACCUUGCGCUAAAUGAUGAGCCUAAGUCGGAUUAGCUAGUUGGUGGGGUAAAGGCCUACCAAGGCGACGAUCUGUAGCGGGUCUGAGAGGAUGAUCCGCCACACUGGGACUGAGACACGUCCCAGACUCCUACGGGAGGCAGCAGUGGGGAAUAUUGGACAAUGGGCGGAAGCCUGAUCCAGCCAUGCCGCGUGUGUGAAGAAGGCCUUAUGGUUGUAAAGCACUUUAAGCGAGGAGGAGGCUACUGAGACUAAUACUCUUGGAUAGUGGACGUUACUCGCAGAAUAAGCACCGGCUAACUCUGUGCCAGCAGCCGCGGUAAUAC